GCUGCUGUUCUAGUUUGAAGGUCAUGGAGCUGAAGACCCAGGGAAAAGUUGGUGCUGCCAUUCAAGUCUGAAUAUCGUGGAGCUGGAGACCCAGAAAGGAACCGGUGCUGCUGUUCUAGUUUGAGGGUCAUGGAGCUGGAGACCAGGGGAAGAGCCGGAUUGCUGUCGAAGUCUGAGGGUCGUGGAGCUGGAGACGUGGGGAGAAGCUGGUGUUGCCAUUCAAGUCUGAAGAUAGGAGAGCUGGAGACCCAGAAAGGAGCUGGUGCUGCUGUUCAAGUCUGAGGGUCAUGGAGCUGGAGACCCAGAAAGGAAAUGGUGCUACUCUUCGAGUUUGAGGGUCAUGGAGCUAGAGACUGGGGGAGGAGCUACCGUUCGAGUGGCGGCUCCCUGGGUCUCCAGCUCCAAGAUGCUCAAACUUGAACAGCGGUAGCACCAGCUCCUCCCCGGGUCUCCAGUUCCAUGACCCUCAGACUUGAAGAGUAGCACCAUUGCCUUUCUGGGUCUCCAGCUCCAUGAUCCUCAGACUUGAGGAGCUGGAGACCCAGGGAGGAGCCGGUGCUGCUGUUCCUGUUUGAGGGUCAUGGAGCUGGAGACCUGGGGAGAAGCUGGUGCUGCUGUUCAAGUCUGAAGAUAGUGGAGCUGGAGACCCAGAAAGGAGUUGGCACUGCUGUUCAAGUCUGAGGGUCGUGGAGCUGGAGACCCAGAAAGGAAAUGGUGCUAGUCUUCAAGUUUGAUGGUCAUGGAGCUGGAGAUAUGGGGAGGAGUCAGUGCUGCUGUUCUAGUUUGAGGGUCUGGGAUCUGGUGACCCGGGGAGGAGCCAGUGCUGCAGUUCAGGUUUGAGGGUCAUGGAGGUGCUGACCCAGGGAGGAGCUGGUGCUGCUUUUUAAAUUUGAGGGUCGUGGAGCUGGGGAUCUGGGGAAAAGCCAGUGCUGCUGUUUUAUUUUCAGGGUCACGGAGCUAAAGACCCGGGAAGGAGCUGGUACUGCAGUUCAAGUUUGAGGUUCGUGGAGCUGGAUAUCUGGGCAGGAGUCAGUGCUCCUGUUCUAGUUUGAGGGUCUGUAGCUGGGGACCUCUGGAGGAGCCGGUGCUGUUGUUUAAGGUUUGUGGAGCUGGAGACCUGGGUGGAGCUGUUGCUGCGGUUCAAGCUUGAGGGUCAUGGAGCUGGAGACCUGGCAAGAAGUCAGUGCUGCUGUUCUAGUUUGAGAGUCUUGGAGCUGGUGACCUGGGUAGGAGCCGGUCUGCUGUUCUAGUUUUAGGGUCUUGGAGUUGGUGACCUGGGGAGGAGCAGGUGUUGCUGUAAUAGUUAGGGUCGUGAAACUGAACACCUGGGGAGGAGCCAGUGCUGCUGUUCACAUUUGAGGGUCAUGGGAGCUGGAGACUUUGUGGCGAGCUAGUGCUGCCAUUCAAGUUUGAUGAUGGUGGAGCUGGAGACCUGGGUUGGAGCCAGUUCUGCUUUUUAAAUUUGAAGGUCAUGAGGCUGGAGACCUGGGCAGGAAUUGGUGCUGCUGUUCAAGUAUAAGGGUCAUGGAGCUGGAGACUCAGGAAGGAUCAAGUGCUGCAGUUCACGUGUCGUGGAGCUGGAGACCCGGGGAGGAACGGGUGCCCCAGUUCAAGUUUGAGGGUCAUGAAGCUGGAGACACAGGGAGGAGCAACAGUUUGAGGGAUGAGUGGCUGGAGACCUGGAGAGGAGCCAGUGUUGCAAUUCAAGUUUGAGUUUCAUGGAGCUGGAAACCUGGACAGGAGUCAGUGUGGCUAUUCUAGUUUGAAAGUCUUGGAGCUGGUGACCUGGACAGGAGUCAGUGUGGCUAUUCUAGUUUGAGAGUCUUGGAGCUGGUGACCUGGGCAGGAGUCAGUGCUGCUGUUCUGGUUUGAGGGUCUUGGAGCUGGUGACCUGGGCAGGAGUCAGUGCUGCUGUUCUGGUUUGAGGAUCUUGGAGCUGGUGAGCCAGGGAGGAGCUGGUGCUGCUGUUGUAGUUAGUGUCGGGGAGCUGGAGACUUUGGGUUGAGCCGCUGUUGUAGUUCAAGUUUGAUGUUCCUGGAGAUGGAGAUUGGUGGUGGGGGGGAGUCAGUGUUUCUUUUCUAGUUUCAAGGUCGUGGAGCUGGAGAACUGGAGAGGAGAUGGUGCUGCUAUUCUAGUUUGAGGGUCUGUAGCUGGGGACCUGCAGAGGAGCUGGUGCUGCUAUUUUAGUUUAAGGUCCCUGGAGCUGGAGACCUGGGCGGAGCUGUUGCUGUAGUUCCAGUGUGAGGGUCGUGGAGCUGGAGACCUGGUGAGAAAUCAGUGCUGCUGUUCUAGUUUAACAGUCUUGGAGCUGGUGUCCUGAGUAGGAGCCGGUCUGCUGUUCUAGUUUUAGGGUCUUGGAGCUGGCAACCUGGGGAGGAGCGGGUGUUGCUGUAAGAGUUAGGGUUGUGAAGCUGAAGACCUGGGGAGGAGCCAAUGCUGCUCUUCAUGUUUUAGGGUCGUGGGGCUGGAGACUUUGGGAGGAGCUAGUGCUGCCGUUCAAGUUUGACGAUGGUGGAGCUGGAGACCUGGGUUAGAGCCAGGGCUGCUUUUUAAAUUUGAGGUUCGUGGAGCUGGAGACCUAGAGAGGAGCUGGUGCUGCUGUUUUAUUUUCAGGGUCAUGGAUCAUGAGACCCAGGAAGGAGCUGGUGCUGGAGUUCAAGUUGGAGGCGUGGAGAUGGAGACUUUGGUUGGAGCUGGUGCUGCUGUUCUAGUUUGAGGGUCGUGAAGCUGGAGAACCAGGGAGGAGGUGGUGCUGCAGUUCAAGUUUGAGGUUCAUGGAGCUGGAAACCUGGGCAGGCGUCAGUGCUGCUGUACUAGUUUGAGAGUCUUGGAGCUGGUGACCUGCAGAGGAGCUGGUGCUGCUAUUACAGUUAGCAUCCUGGAGCUGGAGAAUUUGGGUGGAGCCAGUGUUGCAACUCAAGUUUGAUGGUCGUGGAGAUGGAGACCUGGGAUUGGGGAGCCAGUGUUGCUAUUGUAGUUUGAGGGUCGUGGAGCUGGAGACGCGGGAAGGAGUUGGUACUGAAGUUUAACUUUGAGGUUCGUGGAGCUGGAUAUGUGGGCAGAAGUCAGUGCUCCUGUUUAGUUUGAGGGUCUGUAGCUGGGGACCUGGGGAGGAGCAAGUGCUGCAGUUCAAGUUUAAGGGUCGUGGAGUUGGAGAUUUGGCGAGAAGUUAAGGCUGCUGUUCUAGUUUGAGAGUCUCGGAGCUGUUCAAGUUUGAGGUUCGUGGAGCUGGAGACCCAGAGAGGAGAUGGUGCUGCUGUUCUAGUUUGAGGGUCAGGGAGCUGGAGACUUCAGCUAGUGCUGAAGUUCAAGUUUGACGUUUGUGGAGCUGUAAACCUGGGCAGGAGUCAGGGCUGCUGUUGUAGUUUGAGGGUCUUGGAGCUGUUGUCCCAAGGAGGAGCUGGUGCUGCUGUUCUAGUUUAAGGUCCAUGGAGCUGGAGACCUGGAGAGGAGAUGGUGCUGCUGUUGCAGCUUGAGGGUCUGCAGCUGGGGAUCUGGGGAGGAGUGAGUACUGCUGUUUUAGUUUAAGGUUCGUGGAGCUGGAGACCCGGGGAGGAGCAGGUGCUGCAGUUCAAGUUUGAGGUUCGCAGAGCUGGAGACCUUGGGAGGAGCGAGUGCUGCUGUUCAAGUUUGAGGUUCGUGGAGCUGGAGACCCGGGGAGGAGCGGGUACUGCUGUUCAAGUUUGAGGUUCAUGGAGCUGGAGACGCUGGGAGGAGCGGGUGCUGCUGUUCAAGUUUGAGGUUCGUGGAGCUGGAGACCCGGGGAGGAGCGGGUGCUGCCGUUCAAGUUUCAGGAUCGUGGAGCUGGAGACCUGGUGAGAGAAGUCAGUGCUGCUGUUCUUGUUUGAGAGUCUCGGAGCUGGUGUUUUAGGUAGAAGCUGGUCUGCUGUUCUAGUUUUAGCGUCGGAGCUGUUGACCCCGGAGGAGCGGGUGGUGCUGUUACAGUUAAGGUCGUGAAGCUGAAGACCAGAGGAGGAGCUGGUCCUGCUGUUUUAUUUUGAGGGUCACAGAUAUUGAGACUCGGGGAGGAGCGGGUGCUGAAGUUCUAGUUUGAGGUGUGGAGCUGGAGACUUUAGGUGGAGCUGGUGCUGCUGUUCUUCUUGUUUGAGGGUCUGUAGCUGGGGACCUGGGGAGGAGCCAGUGCUGCUGUUUUCGUUUAAGGUCUGUGGAGCCGGAGACCCAGGAAGGAGCUGGUGG
rnacentral:lncRNA from 10 species